CUCCCUGUUGGGUCACUUCUACUGCCUCCUUUCCUAGGUGCUCACCUUAAACCACUCCAUCACAUGCAACCCAAAGUGAAUAAUUGUUUUGAAAACGAAUCGUUCAGGGGACAGAGCACGGCACAGGAAGAGGGCAGAGGAGGUUCUGAGGCACGCGUCGGCCAUCUUCCCGCCAUCUUGGGGUCUUACGACUCAUUUCAGCAGAAUGAGGUUCUACCAGCUGCCUAGCAGAUUCUCAGCCUUAGCUAUUAUGGACUGAUGGUCUGGCAAUGCUUCUUGCGUCUCUGUCAUUCCCUCAGCCCCCCACCCCCAUCCCACCCCACUGUAAAUCUUCUCGUCUACUGCAGGCACAGGCUUUCCCUGGACUUCAAAAAACAGCCGACCCUUGUAAGAGUUGCCUGUACCCGGCAACCGGCAACAUGCAUCUGUCAACCAGUUUGUCUGCGAGAGGGAGGGGCCCCACAGCCACAGCUCUGGCCCAGAUGAGCCCACCCGUACCAGAGGAGCCGAGGCUGGCUUGAACUAUGUCCUGCUGUCUCCUUGCCCUUCUCCUGGGCACUUUCUUAGGUAGACCCUGAGGCACCACGGAACUUCACAGCCUCCAGGCCCCAGGACGGCCAGUUCAUCUUGAGUUCUCAGAAGCUCCUCCUCAGUGACUCUGGCUUCUACCUCUGCGCC